CCAGACUCCUACGGGAGGCAGCAGUGGGGAAUAUUGCACAAUGGGCGCAAGCCUGAUGCAGCCAUGCCGCGUGUGUGAAGAAGGCCUUCGGGUUGUAAAGCACUUUCAGCGGGGAGGAAGGCAAUAAGGUUAAUAACCUUGUUGAUUGACGUUACCCGCAGAAGAAGCACCGGCUAACUCCGUGCCAGCAGCCGCGGUAAUACGGAGGGUGCAAGCGUUAAUCGGAAUUACUGGGCGUAAAGCGCACGCAGGCGGUCUGUCAAGUCGGAUGUGAAAUCCCCGGGCGCAACCUGGGAACUGCAUUCGAAACUGGCAGGCUGGAGUCUUGUAGAGGGGGGUAGAAUUCCAGGUGUAGCGGUGAAAUGCGUAGAGAUCUGGAGGAAUACCGGUGGCGAAGGCGGCCCCCUGGACAAAGACUGACGCUCAGGUGCGAAAGCGUGGGGAGCAAACAGGAUUAGAUACCCCCGUACCC
rnacentral:rRNA from 1 species